AGAGUUUGAUCCUGGCUCAGAACGAACGCUGGCGGCGUGCUUAACACAUGCAAGUCGAGUGCGCGUACCGUAGCAAUACGGUAUGGCGCACGGCGCACGGGUGCGUAACACGUGGGCAAUCUGCCCUUCGAUGGGGAAUAUCUUCGGGAAACCGAAGCGAAUUCCGCAUAAUAUUCCUUGGACUUCGGUUCGAGGACUCAAGGCCGUAAGGCGUCGAAGGAGGAGCCCGCGCCCGAUUAGCUAGUUGGUGAGGUAACGGCUCACCAAGGCAAUGAUCGGUAGCUGGUCUGAGAGGAUGGCCAGCCACACUGGAACUGAGACACGGUCCAGACUCCUACGGGAGGCAGCAGUGGGGAAUCUUGCGCAAUGGGCGAAAGCCUGACGCAGCGACGCCGCGUGGGGGAUGAAGCAUCUCGGUGUGUAAACCCCUUUCGACUGGGACGAAUGCCUCGCAAGAGGGGUGACGGUACGGGUAUAAGAAGCCCCGGCUAACUACGUGCCAGCAGCCGCGGUAAGACGUAGGGGGCCAGCGUUGUUCGGAAUUACUGGGUGUAAAGGGUCAGUAGGCGGUGUGGCAAGUUGGGAGUGAAAUCUAUGGGCUCAACCCAUAGGCUGCUUCCGAAACUGCUGUGCUUGAGUGUGGGAGAGGCGCGUGGAAUUGCAGGUGUAGCGGUGAAAUGCGUAGAUAUCUGCAGGAACACCCGUGGCGAAAGCGGCGCGCUGGACCACUACUGACGCUGAGGAACGAAAGCUAGGGGAGCAAACAGGAUUAGAUACCCUGGUAGUCCUAGCCCUAAACGAUCAGGACUUGGGGUGCCACCCGUUCGGGUGUCGUCCCGGAGCUAACGCGUUAAGUCCUGCACCUGGGGAGUACGGUCGCAGACUGAAACUCAAAGGAAUUGACGGGGCCCGCACAAGCGGUGGAACAUGUGGUUCAUUCGACGCUACGCGAGGAACCUUACCUGGGCUCGAAUGC
rnacentral:rRNA from 1 species